rnacentral:lncRNA from 1 species
GGGGUGAAGGCGGCGGCGGCGCCGGGGCGGGCAGCUCCCCCUCUCGGGCCGGCGGUGCCUCCCUCGGGUCCCGCCCCCGCUGCUGCCGCGCUCCGGGAGGUGCAGGCCCGCUGGACGCCGCAGUCACCGAGCUGCCUUCGCGGGCGUGCAGGGGCCCGGAGGGAACGCCCCUUCCUGGCUGUCCCUGUGGCUUCGCUGAGGGACUUAAGCCGCCCCCGAGGCUGCGGCCAGACUCCGGGCAUCUGUCCGGCCGAAACGCCGGGGCGCCGGGGCCUGACUCCUCACACCGAGGUUUCCCGGGCACCGCGGCCCUUCCUCGGACGCCGACGGCGAAGGACCGGGACAGCCCAGGCAGGGGCGGCUCCUUCCGGCCACACCGACCUGCCCUUCGCAGGGCGUCCCGGGCGGGCGGAGGCAGAGAAAACCAGCUCCCAGGAACGCGAUCGCUCCCAGCGCCCGGGCCGGCCCAGAGCGAGGCCACCACGGGCGUACCGGGGCCGCCGCUCCCGAGACGGAAGUCCCGCCCCAGGCCGUGGAGGCCCCGCCCAUCGCUUCUUCCCAUCCCCCGCUUCCCCACGCUGUACUGACCGCAGGCCCUCGUCCCGCCCCGGGCCCCGCCCCUCCACGCCCAACCCCGCCCCGUCCCUUGGCCCCGCCCCCACGCCCCACGCCCCUCCCCUCCCGGCCCCACCCCUGUCUUGUCCCGCCCCCCGCCCCGCCCCCGCCUCGACCCCGGGGCGGGCGGCGGCUGCUGAGGCGACCGUUGCGCGCGCGGGCGGUGGCGCGGGCCGGAGCGCCCGGAGCGGGAGCGAGCGGCGCGGCCCGGUAGGUGUGCGGGGCCGGGGCGGGGGACGGGCGCGCCGCCCCCGCUCUUUCUUUCGCCUCCGGGGCGCGCGCCCGCGCCCUCCACCGCCCGGCCAUCCCCGGUCCCCUCGGGGUCGCCGCCCGCCCGCCCUGCCUUUUGUUCGCCCGCCCGACUCUGGCUCCUGGUCCCGGGCCCAGCGCGGGGCGGGGGGCGGGGGGCGCGGGCCUGCGAGGCCUCCUGGCCUGGCGGGUGCGCGGCUUCCCCGGGCCCGCGCUGUGAGGCCCGCCGGGGUCCUCGGGGGGACCUGCGGGGGCGAUGCCUGA